AUGGCGUCCACCUCCCCGGUCGCUCCGGCGACUCCUCGCCGUCCUCGCCCCUCCUCCCCGACCUCCCUCGCGACGGCUAACGGCGUCGGGUGGCUGCCGAGCCUCCGCAGCGCAGCGCGGUUCCUACAACGCAUGGGCAGCCGCCGCCUGAUGCGUGAGCCGUCGAUGGCAGUGCGGGAGACGGCGGCGGAGCACCUCGAGGAGCGCCAGGCUGACUGGGCCUACUCCAAGCCUGUCGUCGUGCUUGACGUGCUCUGGAAUCUCGCUUUCGUCGCUGUGGCAGCAGCCGUUCUCGCCGCCUCCCUCACGGAGCGCCCCGCCGGCCCACUCUGCUUCUUGCUUGCCGGUUACGUGCUGUAG
rnacentral:rRNA from 1 species